UUUUAUUUUAUUUCCUUUUAUUUCAAAAAUUCAUAUCUCUUUCAUUUUAAAUCCAAAAAAUAUGGGACCAAUUGAAUUAUUUCCCUUUUUAAUUCUAGUUUAUGAAAAUGAUUUUUAUUAUUUUUUAUUUUUUCAUUUGAUAUUUUUUUUUUGAAUUUUCUCUUUUCUGGUUAUUUUUAAUUCAUUUAAAAUAGUUUCCAAU
rnacentral:lncRNA from 1 species